GAUAAUUUCCGAUAGUGAAAACUGAAUAUUAAGGAAUUAUAACCCCUUAUAAAUCUGGGUUUCAUGAGAUUGUUGAUAAAUACAACUCAAUGAUUUAUAAGUGAAGAAAAAAGAUGCAUGAAACAAAAAUCACAGGUACAAAAGUCACAGAUCACAAAGCCAUGGCAAACAUGAAGACUAAGUUUAUGGCUUUAUGGGAUGGGUUUUCUACUGAUCCGAAUGUGAGUACUCGCCUGUGGAUUGAGAUGGUCAAGGGAAUCAGAUAAGGUGGAAGCAGCUACUUUGUGUAUUUUUUUUGUUCGAAAAAAGUCAACGAAGAUAUUUAGAACAUGUUGAUCUAAGGGAAAGAGUUUCGAUAGUAAACAUUGAAUUUUCAAAAAAUUAUAAACCUUUAUAAAUCUGGGUUCAAGUAAUUUUAAGAUUUUCGUUCCUCUGUUAUCCAAAAAAAACAAAUAAGGUUAAUUUAGACUUGUCAUUUGAAUAGUUCUAGUUAGCAGAAAGAUUUUCGGAUAGUGAACAUUGCAUUUUAAAGAAUUAUAACCUCUUAUAAAUCUGGAGUUUAGGAUAUUGUCUAUAGUACAACUCAGUGCAAUACAAGGUUUUAUAAAUAAAGGUUGUAAACAGGAGUUGAUCAUAUAUGUCUAUAAAAAACAUAUAAAUGUGUGAAUUUGAAAAAUCUCGUCUUUUAUCAUAUAUUCUUUGUAAGGCUGUUGUCGAAAUACAUGAACAUUAUGAUUGGAUAAAGUAUUUUUAGACCAGGAUUGAAAGUUAACAUCAUCUUUUUAUUUCAUCUUGCAGUUAGCAAUGAAUUGCACAUCUUUGAAAUUGCCUCUGAGUAUUUAUGAAGCUGGAACAGAACCAGUAGACAAUCCAAAAGUGAUUAUCCAAUCGGUAUCUUUGUCAAUAAUGUGAAGUGUUUAUAAAAGAUUAUAAAUGUAGUUUUAUAGGAGUUUAUAAAAUUAUAAAUUAGAGAUUUGUAGAGACUUAUAAAACGUUGUUUAUUCUUUGUUACAUCUUGUGGUUAAUACAGUGUUUGGAUUCCCCGAGGAAUACAAACAUUUCGUGAA